rnacentral:rRNA from 1 species
GGAUUAGAUACCCUGGUAGUCCACGCCGUAAACGAUGAGUGCUAGCUGUUGGAUCCUUGAGGUUCAGUGGCGCAGUUAACGCAUUAAGCACUCCGCCUGGGAAGUACGGUCGCAAGAUUAAAACUCAAAGGAAUUGACGGGGACCCGCACAAGCGGUGGAGCAUGUGGUUUAAUUCGAGGCAACGCGAAGAACCUUACCAGGGCUUGACUUGCCCGUCGCGGAUCGUAGAGAUACUUUCCUUCAGUUCGGCUGGACGGUGCACAGGUGCUGCACGGCUGUCGUCAGCUCGUGUCG